rnacentral:rRNA from 1 species
UACGGAGGGAGCUAGCGUUGUUCGGAUAUACUGGGCGUAAAGCGCACGUAGGCGGCGCAGCAAGUCAGGGGUGAAAUCCCGGAGCUCAACUCCGGAACUGCCUUUGAAACUGCAGUGCUAGAAUCCUGGAGAGGUGAGUGGAAUUCCGAGUGUAGAGGUGAAAUUCGUAGAUAUUCGGAAGAACACCAGUGGCGAAGGCGACUCGCUGGACAGGUAUUGACGCUGAGGUGCGAAAGCGUGGGGAGCAAACAGG